rnacentral:rRNA from 1 species
GGGAAUAUUGCACAAUGGGCGCAAGCCUGAUGUAGCCAUGCCGCGUGUAUGAAGAAGGCCUUAGGGUUGUAAAGAUCUUUAAUCGGGGACGAAUUUUGACGGUACCCGAAGAAUAAGCUCCGGCUAACUACGUGCCAGCAGCCGCGGUAAUACGUAGGGAGCAAGCGUUAUCCGGAUUUACUGGGUGUAAAGGGAGCGUAGACGGCGGGGCAAGUCUGGAGUGAAAGGCCGGGGCCCAACCCCGGGACCGCUCUGGAAACUGCCCGGCUGGAGUGCGGGAGAGGUAAGCGGAAUUCCUAGUGUAGCGGUGAAAUGCGUAGAUAUUAGGAGGAACACCAGCGGCGAAGGCGGCUUACUGGACCGUGACUGACGUUGAGGCUCGAAAGCGUGGGGAGC